rnacentral:rRNA from 1 species
CCUACGGGAGGCAGCAGUGGGGAAUCUUGCGCAAUGGGCGAAAGCCUGACGCAGCCAUGCCGCGUGAAUGAUGAAGGUCUUAGGAUUGUAAAAUUCUUUCACCGGGGACGAUAAUGACGGUACCCGGAGAAGAAGCCCCGGCUAACUUCGUGCCAGCAGCCGCGGUAAUACGAAGGGGGCUAGCGUUGCUCGGAAUUACUGGGCGUAAAGGGAGCGUAGGCGGAUAGUUUAGUCAGAGGUGAAAGCCCAGGGCUCAACCUUGGAAUUGCCUUUGAUACUGGCUAUCUUGAGUAUGGGAGAGGUAUGCGGAACUCCGAGUGUAGAGGUGAAAUUCGUAGAUAUUCGGAAGAACACCAGUGGCGAAGGCGGCAUACUGGCCCAUUACUGACGCUGAGGCUCGAAAGCGUGGGGAGCAAACAGGAUUAGAUACCCUGGUAGUCCACGCUGUAAACGAUGAGUGCUAGUUGUCGGCAUGNAUNCAUGUCGGUGACGCAGCUACGACAUUAAGACACUCCGCCGUCGGGGUAGGUACGGUCGGCGAAGAAGUUAAAACUAACGAAAGGAAAGUUAGACGGCGUGAGACGUGCCGACGGACGACGACGAGGGGAGGUUAGG